CCGGAAUGAUUGGUGGUAAAGGGCGCGUAGGCGGCCAAGCAAGUCAAUAUUGGAAGUCCAUUUUUCAAGGGUGGAAUUGCUAUUGAAACUGCAUGGCUUGAUGGCAGGAAAGGUUAUGGAAAUUCCCGGGGUACCGGUGAAAUGCUUAAAGAUCGGAAGGAACACCAUGGGCAAAGGCAGUUUACUGGACAGCACCUGACCCUAAGGCCCGAAAGUGGGGGGAGCAAACAGGAUUAAAUACCCGGGUAUUCCACACGGUAAACAAUGAAAGCUAGGUGUAGGGGGUAUCGACCCCUUCUGUGCCGGAGUAAACACAUUAAGCAUUCCCCCGGGGGAGUACGGUCGCAGGAUUAAAACUCAAAGGAAUUGACGGGGGCCGGCACAAGCAGCGGAGCAUGUGGUUUAUUUCGAAGCAACGCGAAAGAACUUAACAAGGUCUUGACAUCCAGUGAAAUCUAGUAGAGAUACACGUGUGUCUUUCGGGCACUACUGAGACAGGUGGUGCAUGGUUUGUCGUCAGCUCGUGUCGUGAGAUGUUGGGGUUAAGUCCCGCAACGAGCGCAACCCUUGUCACUAGAUUACUAUCGUGUAAUGACGACGACUAUAUUGAGUGCGCGGGGGACAACUCAGGAGAGGGUGGAUGACGACGUCAAAUCAUCAUGCCUCUUAUGACCUGCUACUACACACACUGCUACGGUGGGCUGACACAGAGAAUGACGAACGCGCGAGUCGAGAACAUAUCUCAAAACAGCCGUCACUGUGAGUAUAGUGUGCUGCUACCCCUGCAUGAUGACGCAAGUUGUUGCUAAUAAUCGCAUCAUCAUC
rnacentral:rRNA from 1 species